GAGGAUGAGCUUUGUUGCAAUGGCGAAGUCAAGACAUUGAAGGAUCGUUGUCCUGAAACAGGAGGGGUGUGAGCUUGGAUAUCAAUGGUGAGGAAGUGGUGGAUUGUGUGUGGGGAUGGGCGAUUGGAUCCCACACUAGUAUGGAAUGGAUCCUGGCCGCUUGAGGGAUCCAUCAAUUCUCAUUCAUUUCUCCAAAUCAUCGAAUAAUCACCUUUUUUUUCUUAUGCCUUGAUUGAUUGGGAGAGAAGAAUAGAAGAGAAAAGAAAAAAAUGAGAGAGAGAAUUAUUAUUUUUUAUUGGUUGGGAGUUUGCUCAUAAAAGCAAUGUAAAGGAAGAAGAGAAAUGAAAAAGAUACAAAUCUUCUUAAAUUUAUAAUUUUUUUCUUCUUUAAAUCGAGUGAAAUUGGAGAAAAAAGAAUUAAAAGUUAGUAAUUCUUUUAUAAAUUCCAUCUUACCUUUUUAAUCAUAAAAAAUAAAAUUAAUAUUAUAUUUUAAUUCUAAAACUUAUUUUAAAGAUCCCACCUAAGCCUUCCAUCUGAUUGAGACUCCCGCAGAUAAAAAAAAUCAACAAAAAUAAAGAGAA
rnacentral:lncRNA from 1 species